CUGGUCUAAUUAGCAUACACAGCUGAAAUUUAGGGACCUGGGAUGAAGAAAAAAGAGAGGGAGACAUCCACUUAAAUCUCUUUGUCAGGCAGUGGCAUAGGAAGUUGUAAAGACUUGCAGUGCAGAGGUUGCUUCUGUUUGCCUUGCUUGAGGGGGGGCAGUGUAAGGAAAAGGAGCUGCUGUAAAUGCUAGUUGUUUUCAUGCCUUUGAAAUCUGCUAAGUCAGCUUUCCUAAGAAGUGGGAGUGUAGUACUAGUGGUGCCAUUUCCUAUGUUUUAAACUAUGCAGCUGUAGAGCCUAGGAUGGGGAAUAUCUAACUCUCAGCUUUCUUCAGCCCAAGGUGGAAAUGUUCUCCCAUUUCCAAGACCAGCAGAGCACCCUGUAUCCUACAUGAGAGCACCCACCUCUUCUUUUCAAGCCAAGCCAUGAAAACAAAGGAGAACCGAGCAGCAGCCAGCAGAGACACCCCAAAGUGAUGCAGCCGUACCAGCAACGGGGAACUCAUCCCUGGUGAUACCAGGAGAAAUCCCAACUCAUCUCCAGGACACUGAAGCAGAGUGUAGGAGCCUGUAGUCCUCCACUGGGGUUGCUUUGGGAGAGGCUGACCCAGCUGGACUGCAGUGGUAGGGACUGCAGCAAAGAGCCUGAGCAACAUUCAAGGAAUGUGCUAUACAUGGACUCCUAAUGGAAUUAGAGUAUCUGCAUCCUGCCCACAUGGACUAAAGCAUUGGAUCGGGGCCUAUCAUUUACAGGUGUGAUUUUCUUUCACCAAAAGGCCUUUAAAAUAUGCAAUUUCCUCUCUCAGUUAUCAUAGAAUCCUAAAAUCGUUAAGGCUGGAAAAGACCACCAAGAUGUAACCGUCAGCCCACCCCCACCAUGCCCACUGACCACGUCCCUCAGUGCCACAUCUCUACGGAACACCUCCAGGGAUGGUGACUGUACCACCUCCAUGGGCAGCUGUGCCACUGCAGCACCACUCCUUCUGAGAAGAAAUUUUGUCCUAAUGUCAUAAGAAGAACAUAGGAAUAUAUGUAUAUGUAUAUAUAUGUAUACAGUAAUAAGGCAAGUCAACAGUCCUAGCAAGAAAAUGACCAUCCAAAUCUCAUACACCAUAAGGACAAAAAGGCUUGUGUGUUGCAAGAUGGGGAAUGUAUGUCCAAUGUGUGGAGUUUUUAACACCAACACAAAGAAUCACUGAAGCCUGACUCUUCUGUUUGAUCAGGAAUGAGUAAGACUCAGAACACAAAGAUGUCACCAAUUAGCAGCAUCUCAGCUAGAAGUGUGAAUAUUUUUAGAAAAAUGGAAAGAAUGGGAGGUUUAUUUUUAAACAAAGAGGAGCUUUUAAUCAGAUGGAGAAACACAUAUUAUGGGGGAUGCUUUGCAAAAAUCCGUCGGGAGCUUGGUUGCCUAGUUCCAGCAGGAAUGGUAUCUAACACUUUUUGCUUCUUUUUUCACUUUGGACAUUUUUAAUUCCCCCAGUGACGAUGCAGUCCUGUGAGGCAGACCACGUGGGACUCCCUGUUAAGACACAGUCAAGAGAUGACAUCAGUCUUUGUAGGAUCAUAGGAAAUAGCAUCACAGGUGAAGGCACAAAGUACUGAAGUUUCAGAAGAAAAAACAACACAGAAUCUUUGUAUCAAUCCAGUAAAAAAAAGCAACCCAAAAAACAACCUCACCACUUUGGGAAGGAUCUCCUCAAAAGAAAGCUGAUGAGUUGACUGGCAUCAGAGACUGUCCAAACCAAGGAGUCAGAUGGAAAGGACCACGAGGGAAAUUGGGCUGCAUACCCAAGAGAAGGCUUUGAAACAAUGCAAUCCCAUUUUCACAACGUCCAGCAUGGAGAUGUGAUGUCCAAAUCUCCAGUACCACUGUGCUUGCACAGGCAGAGCCUUGCCAGCUUUUCAGUCAGGCUGAGGCUGAAUUUGCCACAAGAGCAAGUCCUAGGAUGUGCAUUCAAGACGAGGAACAGGACCUUGUCCCACAGAGAACUUUUCCACCAAGCAAGCCCAGGGUGUCAGACUAGGAGCCUGUUUCUGUUUUCUGCAUUACAUUCAGCUCAAUCAAUCAUUCAAUGGCUUCCAUCCUUAUUUUUCCUCUGUCCUUUCCAGUCAGACUUUGUUCUCUUCAGACUGGUGGUGGGUUUGUGCCUGGUACAGAGGGUGCUCACCUGAGCCAGGGACAUGAUGGUUGCUGUCAUGCUAAUCAUAAUUUUCCUCAGAAAGGAAAUAGCAAAUGCCUUUGUGUCUUGUUCUCCUGCCCUUGUGCUCCCAGACCCCUGCUCUGAGGACAGGACACUUCCCCUCUGCCUCCUUUUGCUCUGAUUUGCCUUGCCUUCCCCAAGCCCUACUGCUAACUGCACUCUCACUGAUUAUUUUCUUUUCAGAGGCUGUAAACUUCAGUUCCUGCUCAGCUUGCAUUAGUGUCAGAGAAGUAUCUCUUGGCUGUUUACAGAAGAGAAAAUGGAAAGAUGAGCAUUAUUUCAUGUGAAAUAUGGUAGAGAGCCUAUGCUGAGUUUCUCUGUGAGGCCUGAGGCUCCAGCUACCUGAAGAAGCUGGUGAAAGCAUCCGUCAUCUGGUGAUUCAUCUCCCCCUGCCAUGGCUCUGGCCCUGCUCUGCGUGGGUGUCUCACAGCUCUCAUCAACUCUGGUUUUGAUGCAGACCAGGAGCUGCUGGGCUGUUCGCCCAAGUUUAUCUUGUAUGAAAGAGUUUGCUUGCUUUUCAAUUGUCUGGUGUUCUCCUGAAGAUGUAAAUUAAAAAAAAUAAAAAAAAAAAUAAAAAAAACAGGUUUUCUUGUAGAUUGCUUUUCAGCUGUUUCUACUAGGAGUGAGAAAAUGGGGAUUGGUGCUCAAGGGAUGUCUCUGGUGCGAGGUCAUACCAGUCCAAUCCCUUCUUGGAAAGAG
ensembl:lncRNA